CAAACAAUCCAGAACUGUGCACAGAUGAGCCUGCAGGCAGGGCUCUAGUGGGGGUGUCCCCUCAUCAAUGCUUAUAACUUAAGGAGGCCGUGAUGGCAAGCAGUUGAGCCUGGGGCCAGGACCCACCUGGAACAGAGAUUCCAGCUGACUGAGAGCUUCAGCAACACACCCACUGUCCCAUCUAUCCACCUAAUCCCCCAGCCAAAGAACAACUAGAGAAGUGCAGCGGGGCAUGGCAGGAUGUACAGUCAUUUCUUCUGGGGAAAGCCUCCACCCCCACCCCUACUCUCUUCUGAGAAUAAGAAGGUUCAUCUUGAACCCUUGGACACCAGUACAUUACAAUCCUGGCACAGUUUCCUUAAUGAGCUGUGAACCCCUGCCCUAUAUUGAACAUCCUUAGGACAGCUUCCUAUCUAGGUCCAGACAUGAAUUUGAAAAAAAAUGCAUGGUGUGGACAAGUUCCCAGCAAUCUAUGUGACCCAGAGCUGAAGAUGUGUCCCUGGAAAUAGCCUGAGAAGAGCAGCUCCAAAGCUCUGUUCCUGUUUAACCACGGGUGGAAAUUCUCAUCUUCUGGGUCCAUGGAAGCACAAGGGCGGUGCUUUUAUAUCAUUCUCUUUCAUUUGCUGCCAUGCUUUAUCAGUGCAUGUAAUUAUUUCCAUUACUGAACCAACAGCUCAUGUGAAAUAUGCACGAGCAUACCCAGAAAAAAACAAAAUGAGACCCUGAAUGAUGAAUAAUGGGAAGGAAACUUUUCUCAAUGUGGUCAACACACGUUCUAGAUUCCGAUGCCGCUGGGACCGAGCCACAACAGGACACUGUGCUGUUACUGAGAAUGAGACAAUUUCUGGUACAUGGGCUCUGAACACAGCAUUCAUUCACUGUAUUAUUGAUUUCCUGAGAACCUCUCCUACUUUCCCCUCUAUGACCAUUUCUUUGCAUGACCUCCAACAAGGACCUCAAGACACAACUACUCAUAGAAGUGAGCAUCAAUGUGGAAACUGAUUCUGUGUCACACGGCUGGGAUCUCUGCAGAACAAUUUCUUUCAGUAGGGUAGCAUAGCAGCCAGGACUUUUAUUGUUAAAGGUCAGAACAGGAUCAAAGUAACUUUAAAACAAAGAACACACUGCUUCUUUUUAACUGAAAAAAUCGACAAAGAUUCAGGUACAGCAGGAUCCAGGUGCCCCAGUGACUUCAACAGGACUUUUCUUCCCCAUCUCUCAGCUCUAGUUCCUUUAUGUUGGCUUUAUUGAUGACAGGCAUGUGUGUGUGCUAUCCAUACUGAGGCCCCCUGUGGCUCCAGGACUGCAUUCUACCACCUAUGCAACCUCAGCAGGAAAAGACACUCUCUAUGCCAAAGUGUGCAGAAAAAGUCUGAAAUCUGCCUCUUUGGGGGUGAGUGGGUCAUGUGCUAAUUACCAGAUAGUGGGGUCAGCCUACCCUCAAGCCAUAGCCUGGGACUAGAGAAGGGCGUUUGCCCCAGGAAAACCAGGAUUCUCUCACCAUAAGAAGUGGGGACAGAUGCGGUGCUGCCCAGCACAGGCAAACAUCAACAUGGUGGUUGGCCUUGACCUGAUCAGCUCACAGACCCUACCAGACUUCUCCUCUCCACAAGAUGGGGCUACCUGACCAUCAGCGGAUUGCUGACCAUGCUUGCUGAUCCUUUUGCAGAACUUCCCACCUUCUAGACUUCCUAGCCUAGGGCAUAUAGCCAUGGGCUGGCUCUGGUCCAGCUGUCUAUGCUGAGGCUUCCUCCAUACCAUGAAAUAGGGUUUUCUUUUCUCAUAGGAUUUCCUUGUCUAGAGUCCUACAAGUUGUGUGGCUCAGGAACUAACUGACCAUUCAUGCAUUCAUUCACUGACUCAUAUUUGGUUGAUGUUUGUGAGUCCAGCACUCUGCUAGGCAUCAUUUUCACAUACACUGCCUAUUCAGUCUAUAAAUCAGAGAUGGCUUCCUAGAGGAGAUGAGCUUGGGAGAAACUAGAGAAGGUGCAGAGGGCAGAUUCGGGGCUGGGGGAUGGGAAAGAAAGGUACUCAGAUGGGUUUGGACACUGGAGUCAACAUCUGUGGGUUUUGCCUUCCCAGUGUCCCUCUCAUUCUUUUACUAGCAUCCCUCUGGAAAGCCAACCCCUUGCCGCACUCAGCCCACAUGGGUGUAGGUGAUACUGAUCCUAUCCCUGACUCGAGUGUGGGCAUAUGAUCCAGACCUGACCAAGCAAAUCUCCACAUUCUCUCAACUACAGUAACAGAUCUGGGGGAUACACAGCUGUGGCUAGACCAGGGGAAGUCCUUUGCAUCACUGGAGCAGAAGAGCUGGUACUAUGCGCGAGCUGGCAGGGGCUGUUUCCACCCUCACAGGAGAAGAGACCACCUGAGAAUGGACCCAACAUGGGAACACAGAGCAGAAAGAUAGGCAAACCCACCACAAGGAUGUCAAUUGCUCGUGAAUCCAGAAUCCCCUAGAGCUCCCAACCGUUCCUUUGAGGCUUAAGCCAGUUUGAGCUAUGCUCCCAUCAGCUGCAAUAAAAGGAGUCCUGAUUCAAAUGUGGAGGUUUGGGGGACAGUGAGGGACCAACUCUGAGUCUAUGAUGGGGUGCUUCCAUUGCUGAGCUUGGGGGACUUAGACACAGGGGUGUCAGGCUGGCCACAAAGGGCUUGAACCUCAAAAUGUGAGCUCAGACUCAGAGCGGCUGUCCAGUGCUCCCUCAGCCACAUGCCCCUGCUGCCUUGAUGCCUGGUGGAUAAAUGCCUGCUGUGAGAGUUCAAGAAAGAUUCUGUUCUGCUGCUUCCUGGACUCUGUUUAUUGUAUUAAAUAAUGUAUUUAAUUUAUUGCAUUAAAUAAUUAAAAUCAUCAAUCAUCCUCA